rnacentral:misc_RNA from 1 species
UAAAUGAAAUGGAAUAUUAUGCAUAGUCUCUGUCUUCAUUGCAACUGAACUAUUAUCAAGUGGAGAACAACUUCCUACAUUCCCUAUGGGACCCUGGUUGACAGCAAGAAUAACAUCAGGCCUGCAAAGAAACUGGGGCUUGGGCUUUUCAUACUUACUUUAUUGGUAGUUCUAGGAAGACCAUUUUUUACCCACUUCAUUCGCAUUCUGCUUUCUCCACCAUAAAUUGAAGUUUUAUUAAACCAUCCAAAGGUAGUUAUCAACAAACUAUUUUCACUUUCUUAAGAACAAAAUCACCUUAGAAUUUCCCUACUCCAUUUAUUGUUAUCAGAAGCUAUGCCAAUCACGUAAACUACAUUACAAUACAACAUAGAAAAAGGAUGUCACCGACAUCUCUAUCAAAAUGAUGGAGAGCCAUCAUUCACAGAUCUUGUGAUGUGAAUUCAAGGGAAAUGACCAAUUUGCAGUGAAGACUUUUUAUUGAAUUCUACCUUUGCCCAUGAUGAAGGGUUUAAAGGAUGUAGGGAGAUGUCCACUACAGAGGGUAGCUCAGCUUCCCUUUAUCUUGGGUGGGUGGAAAGCCCAGUCAUAAAAGGGGGAAUAAGAAAAGUACAAAAGGCAAAUAAUUAAGAACAAAAGUUAAAUAUUUGAGCUGCUAUAGAUGAUUUACCU